AUCCAACUAACGAUUUUCAAAUAGGACGAAACACGCGUCCUGGAU
rfam:Schistosoma haematobium scaffold198_27, whole genome shotgun sequence.